rnacentral:rRNA from 1 species
CCUACGGGAGACAGCAGUGAGGAAUAUUGGUCAAUGGGCGAGAGCCUGAACCAGCCAAGUCGCGUGAGGGAGUACUGCCCUAUGGGUUGUAAACCUCUUUUGUCGGGGAGCAAAAGCCGGACGUGUCCGGCUGUGAGAGUACCCGAAGAAACAGAAUCGGCUAACUCCGUGCCAGCAGCCGCGGUAAUACGGAGGAUGCGAGCGUUAUCCGGAUUUAUUGGGUUUAAAGGGUGCGCAGGCGGAUUUUUAAGUCAGCGGUAAAAUCGUGGGGCUCAACCCCAUCCAGCCGUUGAAACUGGGGAUCUAGAGUGUGCGAGAGGUAUGCGGAAUGCGUGGUGUAGCGGUGAAAUGCAUAGAGAUCACGCAGAACCCCGAUUGCGAAGGCAGCAUACCGGUGCACAACUGACGCUCAGGCACGAAAGCGUGGGUAUCGAACAGGAUUAGAUACCCGAGUAGUC